GACGAACGCUGGCGGUGUGCUUAACACAUGCAAGUCGAACGGAAAGGCCCUGCUUUUGUGGGGUGCUCGAGUGGCGAACGGGUGAGUAACACGUGAGUAACCUGCCCUUGACUUUGGGAUAACUUCAGGAAACUGGGGCUAAUACCGGAUAGGAGCUCCUGCUGCAUGGUGGGGGUUGGAAAGUUUCGGCGGUUGGGGAUGGACUCGCGGCUUAUCAGCUUGUUGGUGGGGUAGUGGCUUACCAAGGCUUUGACGGGUAGCCGGCCUGAGAGGGUGACCGGCCACAUUGGGACUGAGAUACGGCGCAGACUCCUACGGGAGGCAGCAGUGGGGAAUAUUGCACAAUGGGCGGAAGCCUGAUGCAGCAACGCCGCGUGCGGGAUGACGGCCUUCGGGUUGUAAACCGCUUUCGCCUGUGACGAAGCGUGAGUGACGGUAAUGGGUAAAGAAGCACCGGCUAACUACGUG
rnacentral:rRNA from 1 species